GUAGGUGAACCUGCGGAAGGAUCAUUAUCGAAUAAACUGGGUGGGUUGUUGCUGUCCCUCUCGGGGGAACUGUGCACGCCUUACCUUUUUUGUUUUUCCACCUGUGAACACACUGUAGGUCUGGAGGGAAGGGAAGCAAUUCCUUGACGUUCAGGUCCUAUGCUUAUACAUAUACACUAUUGAAAGUAACAGAACGAUUCAAUGGGCUCUAAGCCUAUAAACUAUAUACAACUUUCAGCAACGGAUCUCU
rnacentral:misc_RNA from 1 species